UUGUCGAUUUCACUGUGAAUCCGCCACUGUCAUUAUCGCACCAGCAACCAACAACGGAACAGCAACAUCCGUGUUUGAUCUGUGUUCAUCUGUAAAUCCAGUGGAAUUGUUGCGUUUGAGGCAGUGCCCGUCGGUUGCACUGAAUAAAACUGGUGUGAUUAGUGUUGCUACGUUCCUAGUGCGCAUCAGCCGCCUACAAAACAAUUGAAUAUCAACUGGUCGUCAGGCAACGAAUAACAACUUGGGCGACGUUCAUUUGUUCCAUCAAUAAACAAGGCGGAAAAAACUCCGAACGUAAGUUUACAUACAGUAGCACCUUAAGAAGAUAGAGAGACAACAAAACAUUCAAGAUGGCGUUCGCCGGGCUGAAGAAACAGAUAAACAAAUGCAAUCAAUACAUGACAGAGAAAAUGGGCGGUGCGGAGGGCACAAAGCUGGACAUGGACUUUAUGGAAAUGGAACGAAAAACCGACGUAACAUUCGAAUUAGUCGAAGAACUGCAGUUGAAAACGAAAGAAUACCUCCAGCCGAACCCCACCGCGCGCGCCAAGAUGGCCGCCGUGAAGGGCAUCAGCAAACUGAGCGGACAAGCCAAGCAGAACACCUACCCGCAGCCAGAGGGCGUCCUCGGCGACUGCAUGCUGCUCUACGGCCGGAAGCUAGGCGACGACAGCAUGUUCGGCCAGGCGAUGGUCGAGAUGGGCGAAUCGCUUAAGCAAAUGGCCGACGUGAAAUACUCCUUGGAUGACAACAUCAAGCAGAACUUCCUUGAACCGCUGCAUCAUCUUCAGACUAAGGAUCUUAAAGAAGUGAUGCAUCAUCGGAAAAAAUUGCAGGGACGCCGGUUGGACUUUGAUUGUAAGCGACGGCGUCAGGCGAAAGCGAAGGGCGUUGCGAGCCCCUAUUCGAGUCCUGUCCGCAUGCAGGGCCGCGCCAACGAUGACGAGAUCCGAAUGGCCGAGGACAAAUUCGCCGAAUCCAUGCAUCUCGCCCAAAUGGGAAUGUUCAAUCUACUAGAAAACGACAUCGAGCAGAUUUCUCAAUUAGCCACGUUCGCCGAAGGACUCUACGAGUAUCACAGCCAGUGCACGGAAAUCAUCAAGGUUCUCGUCGAAACACUACACGAAAAGAAAGAUGAAGCAGCUAGCCGCCCAAAGGUGGAGUUCGUACCGAAGCCGAUCGCCGAGCUGCACCUCGAAGGCGACACGGACAUGAACGGUACACACCACCCGCAGAUCAUUCCCACCGCCCCGCCGCCGUACACCCCGCACGCUCCGCCGCCCGCGUACGGCUUCAAGCAGCCGCAGCCCCGCACGCGAUUGGCCGUCCUGCUCCUGCGAAACCCAACCUCAAUCACCGCCAGCCACCCUCCUCGCAAACGUAUAUCCUUGACCUUGACCCAUGGAGUACAGGCUCAUCACAGCAGUCUUCGCCGCAAAACAAGCCGCAUCAUCUGGAGUUGCUACCCGGACAGCAUUCCGCCAAUGCGUCGCCACUGCCGUCCCCGAUGAAAUCUCCGGCCAGAACGCCAAUGACACGCGCGCCAUGUUGCAUUGCGCUGUAUGACUUUGAACCGGAAAAUCCUGGCGAACUUGGAUUUAGAGAGAAUGAAGUGAUAACGCUGAUUAACAAGAUUGAUGACAACUGGUAUGAAGGUAGUGUGAAUGGCCGCACCGGUUACUUUCCGGUGUCCUACGUCCGGGUGGAGGUGCCUCUGCCAUGAGUUACCGGCUAGAAGACAACAAGAGCAGGCGCGGGACGCGGAUACUGAAACCCCAUUGGUCGUUGUUUUUUAGUCACGAAUUGCUGCAGUCUAUAGAUAUUGAGUUUGCGCGCGCGUAAAACAAAUGACUCGAUAAGUUUUGUACAUACGUUUAAGUUGUGUAAACCAAGAUUGUAAUUAAUUUCUUCCGUUGCUUGGGGUUUGGCGGAAACUGCACACAUCGAAACAAGAUGGCGGACACAACCAGGACGAGCGAAAUGUUAAACAUGAAAACAAAAAACAAAUACUUAACUAUUCUUUGAGCGAUAUUACUAAGACUAAGAUUAUACUGCAUCAUAUGCAUACUCACGAGCAUUACAAAAUGGCGGCCGGCGCGCAUAACCUUAGUUUCUAUUAUUUAUUUUACUUUUGAAAGCAUCACAUAGGCGAAUGAGAGAUUUAUUGCGGGGCGAUAUCAAUUACAGAAUUUAUCAUACGAUUUAUAAAUGUUACACGUAAGAGUAAGAGUCGUGGUGUGCGAGAAAGUAUUGUGGACAUACGACGCGAAAUGUUGGCAACCAACACCGCACAAUUCGAGUGCAUAUCGUUAAAGAUUGAUGAUUGAGAGAAUGAUUGUUGUCACGUUCAUGUUAUUGAUGUUCUAUUAUGAGAUGGUUUAUGAGAAAUGAUGAUACAUCACACAACUAUUGAUGGCGAACGAGAUGGUUUCAAUUCACACACAAAUUCGAUUUUCGAUUUACUUGCUACUACUAGGUGUACUCCAAUUCCGCGAGUGGGUGGGUGGGGGUGAGAGACGCGCAGAGUGAGGUUAGGAUCAAAGUGUACUUGUUGAGGUGGAGGGUCGAACGACUUGUAUGCCUUAUAAUGCCAUAAACUUUGUAUGUCUAUACCGAGUGAUAGUCUCGCUAGAAGUUCCACUUGUUCAAGUACACCGAUAAUAUUGGGAUUCAUAGUCGCGCACGAUUUUCAACAAUGGCAACACACAAAAACGAGAAUAGCGGUGGAUGAUAAUGGAGGCAAACUGAUUGUAAAUUGUGACAUUUGCGUAAAAGUACUUAACUUAUGUAUAUCUGGUUCAAGACAAUACAUUAGAUAUAAUAAUAUAAAGUUAUAUAAGUAUAUAAAUAUAUAUAUAUGAUGAUGAUGAUGAUGAUGCAGAAGAUGGCGGAUGACAAAAAAUUAUUAAGGCUACUAUUGUUAUAAGUCGUUUUCAAUUGAUCAUUUGUUGAGCCAACACGAAUAUUAUCGACGAUUCUACUUGCUGUGACAGUAAAACAUAAAAACAAGCAACACGUAAAGUUAUAAACGAUAGCAUUGAUCUCUUUAAACGUAUAAAUACUUCUAACUGCAGAUAAGUUAUGCGGCGAUAAUUCCAUUCUACGAUACACAACACUCAAAUCUCCGAUCAAAUGUUCUGUGUGUGUGUGCUGUUCGUAUUGCUCCGUGAUUCAGAUUCCGAGCGAGUUUGAGCAAUAAGAUUCGAGGGUUUCGACUGUUCUUUUCAUUCUCACACCGAUCAAAACCUAUUCUUGCACAUUGCAACUAUUCGACUAUCCAAUCAUCAGCGGAUAGGAGUUACUACUAGCGUGCAGACUGGAGAUGUAACGAAAUGAUACAUUCUGAUACAUAUGUGUAGUGUGGCGGUCUGAAGCUGUUUUCUGUUAAUUACUCGAUAACGUGAUAAGUUGCAGUUGAUAUUUUGAUAUAAGUUGAAUCUGUAGUAAAUUCUACUUCUUUCAUAGAAAUUCUUUUGCUGUAACUUGUUUCUAUGAUUAGUUAUUGUCAAAUUUGUGUUUUUGUUCAUUUUGAACCGUGUUUGAUUGAAUUUUGCUGUAACUUUUGUUGUAGUUAUGCGAUAUUAUCUUUGCUUUAUUUAUUCAAGAAUUUAAUGCGGAAUACUUUGUUGAAAGAUUAAUUAAUUAACUUUUCUAGUUAUCGAGUAAUUUAGUAAAAACUAAGAGAAAAUAUCUGGAAAAAUUGUGUUUUUUGCAGUUAUUGAUUAAUUACUAAGAAACUAUACAAGUUUUUACAAAAUUUCUUUCACUGGUUUGUUUAAUAUUAAAUUCUGCGCAUUUCUAUGCAAAGUUUUUGUUUAUAACUGAUUUCUACUACUAGUUAUAAACAAUUUAAGUAAAAAUUGUUAAAACUACUAAAAACAUACUUUGUAGGCUUGUAAUUUUGUUUAUACUCAUCUAUUUCUUUUGAUUAUUGUAUAUUAUACGUAGAAUUUUAUCCAGAAGCGAAUUUUGAAAGAAUUAUCAUUGUAGUUUUGUAACUUCUUGAGUUAUUAAUCAAAAUGUCUGAAAAAAGCUCCAGUUUCAGACCGUUUCACUACACUCACGCCCAAAACUAAACAUAAUUGUAGUCAAUUGCCAUAUUUUUAUUAUUUGACGAAUACAAACAAUUCAAAAAAGAUGCAAAAAAAAUAAAACUAAAUAAAUGAUAAACUAAAAAAGGUGUAGCAUGUUACCAAAUAAUAACUUGUUAAUAUUAUACAUGUAUACAAUUUAAAUGUUACCGUAUUUGUGCAUUAAUAAAAAAUUGUCGCUAGA